CAGAGUGUACACAGUCACGCACACACACACACACAUAUCAUAUAUAUACACACAUAUAUACACAGACAGAUACAGGGACGGUUAAUCAUUUCUCAGUGAGCAUCCAAAAGUGUUGUGGAUUACUAGUUGGAGUUUGGACCGAACAUCCAGCAGAUGGCAAGUCCCUUCACUGAGCUGGAAUGCUACAUCAUUCUUUUUUCUCUGCUAGUCUUCAGUCUGUUUACUCUGCACGGCAUGAUACAUGAGCGAUGCACACCUUCAACAGCAAAAGAAGUAGAAGACCAUCAAGACCCACUUAUAGUCUGAGCCUGGGAGUCAUUUUCCUCAAUCGGCGCUACACCUGUACAGACCCUUUGGAUAUAAAACUCUCCCAGGAUCCAGAACAGAAGAACUUAUGUGUUGGAACUUGUGGGUUUUUCUCAUGGGACAUCCACAAACACGGAGCAUUCGGUGGUCUGUUAUUACACUUUAUAACCAUCAACAGACUGAUAUGGAGUGCGUGGCUAUAUUUGUUUAAAGGGCGAGUCUAAAAGGGUGUGUGGUAUUGAAAAGUGUGUGUGUGGAUAUAAUAUGCUGACGUGGUGUAUUGAUGGCUCGAUCAGAGAUUCCAAGAUGAAGUAUAUACAUAGCUUUUGUACUUGAAAAGAUCAGAGAGAUGACUGAAGAUUUUGAACC